rnacentral:lncRNA from 1 species
UUUGUUGCUUUUGUUUGGACGUGGCAAACGAACGGAAUGGAUAAAUCGUGGAUAGGUUAUUGUACGUACCUACAGAUUAUAUGGAUAUGAAUAAAAUUUAAGAAAAACUUCAAAAACUCCCUUUGUGGUUUCACUUUUUUUUUCACUUUAGUACCUUGUGGUUUAAAGUGUAUCAAGUUAGUACCCUGUAGUUUAUCACUUUAUCACUUUAGUACCAUGUGGUUUAAAGUGUAUCAAGUUAGUACCAUGUGGUUUUGCACUUUAUCACUUUAGUACCCUGUGAUUUCGCACUUUAUCACUUUAGUACCCUGUGGUACCCUGUGGUUUUUAAACCACAGGGUACUAAAGUAAUAAAGUACGAAACCACAGGGUACUAAAGUGAUAAAGUGCAAAACCACAGGGUACUAACUUGAUACACUUUAAACCACAGGAUACUAAAGUGAUAAAGUGAGAAACCACAGGGUACUAACUUGAUACAUUUUAAACCACAGGGUACUAAAGUGAGAAAGUAUGAAACCAUAUGGGGGAUUUUUAAAGUUUUUUCUAAAAUUUAUCUGUUAAUUUUUGGAUAGUCUACAUGUUUAUUCAUACCAGUCUAUAGACGAGGUGGAAUGCGGGUUAUCUAUAAGAUAUUCUUCCUUUUUUUUAGCUCCUAUACUUUUCAGGUGCUAAAUACAUAUGCAUUAUUUUUAAAAAACUAUAACAUAACUUAUUGUUUCACUACAACAUAAUUAGGCUAUAGAGACACAUGUUUGGGACACUUUUGAGUAAGUGUCCCAUUUAUACUAAAACUUUAAAAAAUAUCUGCUAGUGCCUAAAUAUAAAGCACAAUCCAACCAAAAAUAAAAGAUUACUCUACUCAACCCACCACACCCAAUUCAUUUGGCCCGAUUACAAACAAAAAAGAAAAAAAAAAAAAAAAAAAAAUCAAUUGCCAUCUUUUCUUCUCUCUUCACUCAAUCCACUGAAAUUCUAGACGAAGAGCCUUUCCUGUCGUCCUCCUCCGCCACCGCAACCAAUGAGAUAUAGUUUCGGCGGUUGCUAAAUGCUUAAAUAAGUGUUUGUAAAUUAGCAGCACUCCUUUAGGUUAUAGCGACACUCUUUAACUGUCACUAUAUACCUAGCGAUCCCACAUAUAGCAACACUUUUUAAAAGUGUCGGUAAUUUUAGCUAGCAACACUUUUUUGACAUGUACCUAUAUUUAAAAGUGUCGCUAUAGACCGUUUUUGUUGUAGUGUUUGAAAUAUCACAACAUACAGUAAAUAAUAUAAAGCCUUAAAAUACAUAAAUUAAUGUAAAAAUAUUUUACAU